CCCCUUAGUGCAUUAAAUUUCAUCUUCUUCCCUUCAUUCUAUAGGAUUCCUAUCUUCUGACCAAAAAUAUCUUUAUCUUCCUCUCCAAUUUUUCACAACUUCGUGUAUUGACCAGAAAAUGCGAGGAAGAAAUAAGUGAGACAGAGAAGAGAGAGAUCGAUGGAUUAGAAUUAGUGAGGAAGAAAGAGGCGAGGCAGAGAAGAGAGAGAGAGAGAGACAAAGAAGCUGGUUGUUAAGUUUUCAUUGAUUGGUUAUGGGGAAAAAAAGCAGUGUCAAUAAUAGAAAUGAACUCUAAACCUAAGAACUAGAAUAAAGAAAAAGAGAAGACAGAUUGACGUAAGAAUGGAAAUAGCUGAAAACUCACAACUUGCUUGAUGGACAAAUCCCACAUCAAUUAAGUAAUUCAAAACAAGCACGUAUCCUCUUAGGUGUUAUGAAGAAAAUGAAUUUCUCAAGCAAGUAUCUCUUAGAUAACCCUCAAGAGGAUUGACCUCUCAAGCAAGUGGUCUUAUCAAAAUUUGUUAUUUUCACCUAGUAUAAUCUAUACUAGCUAUUGUGUAAAAACCCGAAAGUGGCAUUCCAUAAAUUGCAAAAAGUAGCCAAUAUUACACUGUUAGUUGACACACGAUGGGCUGAUCUCAUGUAUGGGCUUAAUGACCGUAUGUGCUAUUCACGGUCCGUAGGUGGCUCCAUAGCAUCAAGACAGAAGCUAGCAAUGUCCAUUCUCAACAAUCAAAGUACUGGUCAUAAGUGAAGUACAAGCCAUAUGUUGGAUAUGAUGCAACCGUAUGUGACUCGAGUGCCUCACGAUCAACAUACGGUUAGUAAGUUGCAUUUACGCUAUCGUAUGUGAAGUGUGCGUUUCAUUUUUCUUCCUAAUCCAGUUAUUCUUCUAGAUGGAGCUUUCUACUUCCAUUAAGCACAUUUUUUGGAUUCAAUCCUUCAUUUCAAGCGUUUGAAGUAGCGACUUGCUGGAAAGCCCUUCAACU
rnacentral:lncRNA from 1 species